rnacentral:rRNA from 1 species
UGGGGAAUAUUGCACAAUGGGCGAAAGCCUGAUGCAGCAACGCCGCGUGAGUGAUGAAGGCCUUCGGGUUGUAAAGCUCUGUCUUUUGGGACGAUAAUGACGGUACCAAAGGAGGAAGCCACGGCUAACUACGUGCCAGCAGCCGCGGUAAUACGUAGGGGGCAAGCGUUGUCCGGAUUUACUGGGUGUAAAGGGUGCUCAGGCGGAUUUGUAAGUCAGAGGUGAAAUCUUACAGCUUAACUGUGAAACUGCCUUUGAUACUGCAAGCCUAGAGUAUGGAAGAGAGUAAUGGAAUAUCUUGUGUAGCAGUGAAAUGCGUAGAUAUCAGAUAGAACACCAAUGGCGAAGGCAGUCACUUGCUCCAUUACUGACGCUAAAGCACGAAAGCGUAGGUAGCAAACA